UACGUAGGGGGCAAGCGUUGUCCGGAAUCAUUGGGCGUAAAGAGCGUGUAGGCGGCCUGGUAAGUCCGCUGUGAAAGUCCAGGGCUCAACCCUGGAAUGCCGGUGGAAACUGUCAGGCUCGAGUCCGGAAGAGGCGAGUGGAAUUCCUGGUGUAGCGGUGAAAUGCGCAGAUAUCAGGAAGAACACCCGUGGCGAAAGCGGCUCUCUGGAACGGUACUGACGCUGAGACGCGAAAGCGUGGGGAGCAAACAGG
rnacentral:rRNA from 1 species